AUUUCUACCAUCCCGGUUGUGGAGGUGUUGCUCGUGUCCUAUUAAGUCCUUAUACGCCGAGGGUAGUAUAAAGAUUUACAAGAUUUAGCUGUCGUUUUAGUGUCAAGUUUAGAGCAGGCUUGGCUUUGAAUCAUGUUUGUGAGCUUGUUGAGGAUGCUUAAAAGAAUAGUAGAAUUAGCGAUCGUGCUGUAGUGCUGCGAUCGCUUUCGCGCAUUUCGACACUGUGGUUUUUGCUGGAAAGUUCUUCAGCUGCUUGUCAGACUGAAAACCAAUUGAAUCUUUGUCGUUCGAUUGAGUGGGACCUGCUUUCUAUGAGGUCUUGUGAAGGAAGAACGUCGUCCUUUGCUUCUAAUUCAUUCUUUAUUUGGCAAAAAAACACAUCACUGCGUUUAGAUUUAUUACUUUCAGUCGUUGAGCUGUACAAAAUUUUCGAGUUAAGUUCAUAAGGUCUCCUGCUUGAGUUGCGCUCUACCUGGCCUCUCUUUCUACAAACAGUUCCUUCCUCUUUGGUAUACGCAUUAUUCUCCUAUUUGUGAACGUCGAGAAGCUAAAUGUUUCACAUGGAACGUCAUCUAAGAAGCUUUCCUUGGAGUAUCAACUUGGUGAUUGCUCCAUUUACACUUCCUCAUAAGUCUGUUACUUUGAAACCCGGCACCAUUACCGAGCACUUCAUGAAGAGAUUUCCUAAACUAGUAUGCCGACACUUUGUGCAGUAAUUGCUGAAAUUUUCCGACUGCAUUGGUUGCACCAUACCAAGUUGUUCCAAGGAUUCUGUUUAGGUCUACAAGUAGCAACCAAGCAAAGAAGUUACAAUGAAGGUUGGCAACAUUGAAGAGACUAAUGCGGUAAGAUUCAGUGCUCGGUGCGACCUCUCAAUUUGAUAUAUAUAUAUAUAUAUAUAUAUCUGUGUGUGUAUGUUGGUAGGAUCGCUUACAUUUUUCGCUGAACUGGGCAUCCAGUGGUAAUUGUCGCAUACAUUAGGCCCGCGUAACAUCCUUAAGUGUAGGUGAUAUGACUUAUGAUACGUUCAUAUUCAUCCUGAUAUGGUUAUCCGUGCUUAGAGCUGCUUAAUUUUUAUUAUUUCGGUGACAAUCUCCAACGGUUUUUUUUUUUUUUUUUUUUUUUUGAGAUAACGUUUUGAAUUUUCUGUAAACUGGUGUACGUCCUUGAUCUUUCAAGGAUUCUCAUGAGGCUGAUUCCGUCACCAGGUAAGACUUCCAAGCCUUGCUACAAGCAUUCUUCUAAAUUGUGUUUUAAUGGCUUCUAAAAGUCGCGAUUCACCUUGCCUACAGAUGACAAACUAAUUUUUCUCAUAAAUGUUUAUUCUCAUCCGAAAUGUUUCGAAGAGACUCUGUGAAAUAAUGUAGCUGUAUCUUUGGAAAACGAUAUGAUCUUUUAUGAGCACCACAGUUGGUUGGCAGAUCCAUUCUCAAUGCUAGAUUCCACGAAUUAAACAUACAUUGACCUAUUCAUUUCAGGGAGGAUUACUUUGGAGAUGUUCAAAAUUUGGAUCAUUGUAUCAAGAACCUGAAAGUCCUUGGUUACUUUCAGGUUUCCCUCUGGAAUCAACUUGUACUCAACUAAUCCCGCAAGAUUUUGCCGCACCGUUGAAUUGGUUUUGUUGCGCGUUAGUCAGUGCUGCACUUAGCAAUUACCUCCGUUGCCAGUUUUUCUAAGAUGAUACUAGUAAGGAUUAUGGAAUUGCUGACGAAGCUCAUGUAUGUCAUGGCCUACAAAAUUAACCUUUUUUGGAGCAGCUAUUAAUCGCAAAUGCUUGUUCCAGUAUAUUCUCUAUGAUUCAGCAACGGCAACAAGACAUCGAGUACCGUGAAUCUGAUAUUAACAUGAAACAAAGAUAUGUUCAGGCUAGCGACCUAGAUGGAGAGAUUGUCCAAUCAGAUUAACAUCAAGGAGUGUGAAUUGCAAAUCUUAACGAUCAAGGAACAAAAAGUCACAUCCGGUACAAAGACGCAAUUGAAGAAAUUGCAGCUGGUAAAAGGAUGAAACCAAUCGCAUGUUGAUCCCCUCACAGGCAUGACCAGCUUUUUCCGACAUGUGGAAGCCAUUGGAGUCUGGUCAACUAAUUCUACUGAAAUUUCAACAGAAACAUGAAUUGAAAAAGAAGGAGAAGGAAUAUAAGAAGCUACAGAAGGAAGGUAGGAAGCGCGGGACAUGGAACUUUAAGAAAGCUGAUGGCGAUGUUUGCAAAAUUUCAGUGAGUUCACCGUAAUUCUACUCUCUAUUGUUUAAGGGAAAUCUUAUAGUAGUAUUUCAACUUCAACGUUUUGUUCUACACCUGCUCAGAUACGCGGGAUCCCCAGUUUCUGGUCUGAAAAAGCGCCCUCUAGCAUUGUUUUGUAUCCAAGAGUAGCAUGAAAUGCUACGCUUGCGAAUCAAUGUGUUCUUUCCAACCAUUUGCUGUGGUUGCACAGUAUUCAUUGUAGAGUUUAGCUAGCUCAACUCAUUCUCUGUUCCAUAUAAAUUCAUGUGGGCAACUUAGGUAGGUUGAUGCUUACGAGAACAAGGAUCAGGAGCUAGUUGCCGAGAAUACAGAUUUGCGUGCAUUGUUGGGAUCCAUGCAGGUACAUUGUCAGUGUCUGCACGCUUUGCAUCACUGAUGUGUAGGUGUUGUUAAGAGCCGUCUACACCCAGUUGAAGCUUGGCCCAGAAAUACUGCAAACUGCAGUGCGGACAUGCAGCCACCUCCUACUUAUUUGAGAGGUCCUACUGUAAGUGCUCCGGGGUUGGUAACAUAAACCAUGACGUACAAGAGAAGCAUGUCUAGAAUCAGUUUUAAGAUUAAGAUAAGAAUGAUUAAUUUAUAUAAGCUUUGGUAUUGUGCUUUGGAUACUAUGUAAAAAAGUAAGUGUUUAAAACACAAGCAUACUUAUAAAUUCUAUUCUACAAUUGUACUAUUAAUUGUUGAAUAAAAACUGCCUCGGAUUAACUGUU